GACGAACGCUGGCGGCGUGCUUAACACAUGCAAGUCGAACGGUAAGGUCCUUCGGGGUACACGAGUGGCGAACGGGUGAGUAACACGUGGGUGAUCUGCCCUGCACUUCGGGAUAAGCCUGGGAAACUGGGUCUAAUACCGGAUAGGACUCCGGACUGCAUGGUCUGGGGUGGAAAGCUUUUGCGGUGUGGGAUGGGCCCGCGGCCUAUCAGCUUGUUGGUGGGGUGAUGGCCUACCAAGGCGACGGCGGGUAGCCGGCCUGAGAGGGUGACGGGCCACACUGGGACUGGGAUACGGCCCAGACUCCUACGGGAGGCAGCAGUGGGGAAUAUUGCACAAUGGGCGCAAGCCUGAUGCAGCGACGCCGCGUGAGGGAUGACGGCCUUCGGGUUGUAAACCUCUUUCAGCAUCGACGAAGCGAAAGUGACGGUAGGUGCAGAAGAAGGACCGGCCAACUACGUGCCAGCCGCCGCGGUAA
rnacentral:rRNA from 1 species